ensembl:lncRNA
UUUUUUUAAGAAUCUUUUAAAAAUUUACAUUCAUUUUAUGUAUUUAUUUAAAAAUUUUAAUUGAAGUAUAGUUGAUUUAUGAUGUUGUGUUAGUUUCAAGUGUCCAGCAAAGUGGUUCAGCUACACAUACACACACACACAUUUUUUUUCAGAUUCUUUUUCAUUAUAGGUUAUUGCAAGUUAUUGAGUAAAGUUCCCUGUGCUAUACGGUAGGUCCCCCUUGCUUUGAUUUCUUUCCUCGUCUUGGUAAAUUGAUUAGUUGUUACUUCCACUCCACCUGCCCCUUUUAAUUCAAGUUCAACAAUCUCAUUCUGGCGCUCAUUUCUGCUCUUCCUUUUAACCUCUUCUUUCCCUCUUCCCUCCUCUUUUUCGUUCUCUCUCCUGGGCAAAGUCACCAUGGCUUGGAGGGAGCAUGGGCACUGCUAUCUGUCAACAGAAUGAUACAGGGGAUGUCAAGAGUCAUGUCCCUAGGGAGGUAAGGCCAUAUACCUCAAAGGGAACAUUUGGAUUAAAUAUGACAAAUGCACUUGGCACUUGCCAAUAUUCUUCCAUCCUCACGUGUGAGUCUGGGGCCACAGACUGAGAAAAAUCCUGUUUCUACUUUGAGGACUAGGUCAGCAGUGGUAGGCAUGCAGUCUGGGGGUCAGAGUGGGCUUUAAAACAAACACAAAAGCCCCCUGUGAACCUAAAACCAUCUGCUACAUCUCACUCAAUGUCACACGGAGUGAAAUUUGGAACAAUUUCUAGCCACACAAUGCAGUGAUAGAAAAGUCAAGAAGAAACCAGCCAGAAAAAGUUUUAUGAGGCCAGCUCUGACAGCAUCAACUUGACUGCCUGCUCUGUUGACAGCACACUUUCCUGGUAGCUACCUCUUUCUCUAAGUGGACUGUUGCCUCCAAAUGCUUCUAAGAAGAGGAAGCCAGACUCUGAAGAGGAAGGAGAUGGGUGGUUUGAGGAAAUGUCUGACCCAGCAGGAGAAACCACCUCAGCAGAUGCCCUGUUGGCCAAAGCAAGCCACGAAAACUGCCUCUGCUGACACCUGGUGGAGAGCAAGCAGCUUCCUGGCGCCAAAGAUAACAGCAAGGGGGCGGGGGUGUGUGGGGGGGGGUUGAGUGGCCUGGGAUGCAUUCAUUACAACGCCCGAGGGAUGAGGGGACCACGCAGAACCACCAGAUGCUGGAGUGUUUACGUGUGGCUAGGUGACUCAUCAAGACACAUGCAUGGAAAACCGCAAACAUGAAUCGGAAAAUAAAACAUUAGCAUCGAAGCCAAUGAUGUGUUAUUGAUGUCUUAAAAGUGUUUGAUGACAAAUAAGACAACAAACAAAAACUCACUCCAUACUCCUGCUCUAGACAUCUUCCUAAGAAAAGGCUCCACUGCUUGACCCCUGGCAGAGGUACCAGCUCCAUCCCAGGAAGAGAAGGGUGCCCAGAUGGAGCUUGGACUCUGCUGCCUCUGGAGUCUGCAGUGAGCUCCCUGCAGAUUUUUGUGUGUGUGUGUGUGUCUUUUUUAGGGCUGCACACGCGGCACAUGGAGGUUCCUAGGCUAUGGGUUGAAUCGGAGCUGUAGCCACCAGUCUACACCACAGCCACAGCAAUAUGCCAGAUCUGAGCCACAUUCUUGAUCUAUGCCACAGCUCACUGCAACACCGGAUCCUUAACUGACUGAGUGAGGCCAGGGAUCGAACCUGUAUCCUCAUGGACACUAGUUGGGUUCUUAACCUGCUGAGCCACAACAGGAACUCCUCCCUGCAGAUUUUUAACCCUGGUAUAGAAAGAAUACUCUUCCAAAAGGAAAUAUUCUGAAGAUGCCUUUGUCCCUAGAAGCCCUUGAAGAUGAAAAUAAAAUUCUCCUAAUAAAUGCAAUUACAAGUGUUUACUACUCUUUAAAUGCCAAAUGUGGGUGAGGGGGUGGGGGCUGCAUCACAGAGUUCCUACAUAAAAUGGAUUUCAUAAACUUGCUACAAUCUCCAUUUUCCCCUUCCAUGGGUUCUUUAAAGCUGCCUGGUGAAGGCUGACUUUUUGGGGGGCAAAUUCAAUGGUUUCUAGCACAGUGCACACACAGCCUAGAUUUUGUCUUCCAACAAUCUGUUUUAAAGGUGAUUUUCAGGAAUGUACUAGAGCAAUUAUUAGCUCAAAUUUGUAAGAAUCCAUUAGGUUUAAGUUAUGAAGAAAGUUUUUGUUUGUUUUAAAUCACAGGCAGUUUGGUUAUGGGCAAACUCAGGGAGUUGGGAUGAACAGAUCUACAUAUGAAGAAGGAAAAGAAACCACUAGGAGUUUCUAUUGUGGCUCAUCGGCUAAGGACCUGACAUUGUCUCCUUGAGGAUAUGAGUUUGAUCCCUGGCCUCACUCAUUGGGUUAAGAAUCUGGCAUUGCCACAAGCUGCUGGUGUAGGUUGCAGAUACGGCUCAGAUCUGGCAAGGCUGUGGCUGUGGUGUAGGCCUGCAGCUGCACCUCUGAUUCGACCCCCAUGACCCCUAGCCAGGGGACUUCCAUAUGCCUCAGAUGUAGCUGUAAAAAGAAGAAGAAGAAGAAAAAAGAAACCCCUAAAAGACUCAUGUAGUUGCAAUUAUAGUUUUUUCUCUCUAAGUUAAAUUUAGAAUGUAUAUUUCCUUAAAUAUGCUGGCUCAGAUAUAUAUGAUUCUGACCACAAAAUGUACAAUAAAAAUAUACCUCCUCCCAUGGUCAGUGAUUCUAUGACACAGAGAUUCUCAACUUUCAUGGCACCCUUAGUGUUUUGGUAACUGUUUCACAGUGACCCCAGGUAAAAGGAAUAAAUAUUCUGUUUAUUAACUAAGGUCCAAACAGCCUAAUAGUAGUAUUUGCAUGGUGUCUGACAGUUGUUGUUGUGAUUCCCUUAAAAAUGAACGAAAGACAUUCCAUUGUGUUCCUCUGGGUUUGUGAUGGUACCCACCCCCCAUCCCCCCACCCCCCUGCCAAGGUGCCUUGGGUACCAUGGCUAUGACAGCUUUGGGAAUCAGUGAAAAGUUCAAGGGUAUGGUUUACCGGAUCUCUUUUCAGCCCUCUGUGAGACCAGGGCUACAUAAUUUGACCUUUCAGUAUCAUUCUGCUCAGUGAGUCAGAGUGGCGUAGGCUGUGGUGUGGGGAAGAGAAUGAAAUCUUUGCUGGAUUGAAGCUCGCCUUGGGAAUAAACAAGACUUGGUCAUUAUUUAAUAGUAUUUCCUGAGCCCCUAUCAUCUGGGGAAGAGGCAAUGAAGUCUCUAAAUAAAAAAGCACAGCCCUUGCUGCGUCUUAGAAAGAAGAUGCAAUAAGUCACAUUAACACUGGGAAUUGCAGGACCAGCAAGGGGUGGCUGGAUGCUAUGUUCUUUGGUGAAAAUCUGACGAAUGAGCAUGAGGUGUUAAAUACACCAGAAUCCUUGGAAGAGUAUCUCAAUAAAUCCAUAAAUGACUGGUCGCCUGCUUUUCCAUCCUGUUCUGUUCCUGGCUUAUAUGGAGCAAGCAAGCUAUGUAUAAAUUAAAUUACUGGUUCUCAAAGUUUGGCAAGCACCUGGAGAGCUCCUUGAAACAGACUGCCUAGCUCCACCCCCAGAAUUUCUGAUUUAGCCAGUCUAGUGGUGGUGGGGGGUAGGGGUGUCUGAGAGUCUGAAUUUAUAACAAGUUCCCAGGUCAUCAGACUGUACUUUCCAGGAACCACACGUUGGGAGGCACCAGCCUAAACCAUUUGGGGACAUGUUAGAAGCGAGGAGGUGCCAUCUUGGGGGCUACCCUUUGAAGACCCUAGGCAGGCGUCCCCACCUCUUCAAUCCUGACCAGCCCUGACCACCUGGUCCGGAACACACCGAAAAGAUGGGCUUAUCAAGGCCCCCCAGGUUCCUUCUCUGAAGGCCACUUGCAUUUUAAGAGGGUACCCUGGAAUUUGAGACACUUAAGUCUUGUUGGAACAGAGUGAUGAGAUAACGAUGAUGGGAAGGAGUUUUGUGUGUUCAGAGGUUGGCUUUGCAGUCUGUUCACUUGGCAACACCAGGGAGGGGUUCCUCAUCUCAAGAAUGGGGUUCACAGCAGAAUCUGCAGAGAAGCCUUGCUCCUCCUCUCCAGGGCUGGGCCCCGGGCACAGGUACCUAGAGAAAGCUUCCCACCUGAUCCUUUUGAGAACUUCUGCUUGUAAGAGAAGUACUUGAGUGUGUGGGGAUGGGUCACACUACUGUCAGCCUCUUAUCUCUGAAGCCAUUCAGCUGCUUACACCUGCCCACACAGGGGCUCAUGGCUUUGGAGUCACUGGACACACCCCUGCUGUCCUGUGUCCUGUUUGGCUGCCUUAGGCCUGCAGGGAACUCUUUUUCCCUGCCUCUCACCAUGCUUCCUUGGAGGGUAACAAACUAUGGCCAUUGUGGUUUAUCCAAAGCAUGUUGCUAAUUUAAAGCUAUUAGCUAUGCACUAAGGGACCCACCAGCGCAUUGACAAACCAUGUUACCUUACCUGGACUUCUGCACCCAAUCUACAUUCUCAUCCACACUCUCCUGCCCC